rnacentral:rRNA from 1 species
UUAAAUUGAAGAGUUUGAUCAUGGCUCAGAUUGAACGCUGGCGGCAGGCCUAACACAUGCAAGUCGAACGGUAACAGGAAGAAGCUUGCUUCUUUGCUGACGAGUGGCGGACGGGUGAGUAAUGUCUGGGAAACUGCCUGAUGGAGGGGGAUAACUACUGGAAACGGUAGCUAAUACCGCAUAACGUCGCAAGACCAAAGAGGGGACCUUCGGGCCUCUUGCCAUCGGAUGUGCCCAGAUGGGAUUAGCUAGUAGGUGGGGUAACGGCUCACCUAGGCGACGAUCCCUAGCUGGUC